AUUGAACGCUGGCGGCAGGCCUAACACAUGCAAGUCGAACGAGUGGGGACGGGUGAGUAACACGUGGGUAACCUCCCAUCAGACGGGAUAACACUUGGAAACAGGUGCUAAACCCAUAUGGAUGGAUGGACCCGCGGUGCAUUAGCUAGUUGGUGAGGUAACGGCUCACAAAGGCCACGAUGCAUAGCCGACCUUAGAGGGUGAUGGGCCACACUGGGACUGAGACACGGCCCAGACGCCUACGGGAGGCAGCAGUAGGGAAUCUUCGGCAAUGGACGAAAGUCUGACCGAGCAACGCCGCGUGAGUGAAGAAGGUUUUCGGAUCGUAAAACUCUGUUGUUAGAGAAGCGGUAUCUAACCAGAAAGCCACGGCUAACUACGUGCCAGCAGCCGCGGUAAUUC
rnacentral:rRNA from 1 species